rnacentral:miRNA from 1 species
AUGCACCUGGGCAAGGAUU